UACGGAGGGUGCGAGCGUUGAUCGGAAUUACUGGGCGUAAAGCGUGCGCAGGCGGUCUUUUAAGUCAGCUGUGAAAUCCCCGGGCUUAACCUGGGAACUGCGUUUGAAACUGGAAGGCUAGAGUGUGGCAGAGGGGGGUGGAAUUCCACGUGUAGCAGUGAAAUGCGUAGAUAUGUGGAGGAACACCGAUGGCGAAGGCAGCCCCCUGGGCUAACACUGACGCUCAUGCACGAAAGCGUGGGGAGCAAACAGG
rnacentral:rRNA from 1 species